GGAAUCAACGCUGGCGGCGUGCCUAACACAUGCAAGUCGAACGCGAAAGGGGAGCAAUCCCUGAGUAGAGUGGCAAACGGGUGAGUAACACGUGGGUGACCUGCCUUCGAGUGGGGGAUAACGUCCCGAAAGGGACGCUAAUACCGCAUGACAUCCUGUCUUUGGACAGACGGAGAUCAAAGCUGGGGAUCGCAAGACCUGGCGCUUGAGGAGGGGCCCGCGCCUGAUUAGCUAAGUUCGGUGAGGUAACGGCUCACCAAGGCUACGAUCAGUAUCCGGCCUGAGAGGGCGGACGGACACACGUGGGACUGACGACACGGCCCAGACUCCGUACGGGAGCGAGCAGGUGGGGAAUUUCGGUACGACUAAGUCGGGGACG
rnacentral:rRNA from 1 species